rnacentral:rRNA from 1 species
CCUACGGGAGGCAGCAGUGAGGAAUAUUGGUCAAUGGGCUUACGCCUGAACCAGCCAAGUCGCGUGAGGGAAGACUGCCCUAUGGGUUGUAAACCUCUUUUGUCAGGGAGCAACGCCGGCUACGUGUAGCCGGACUGAGAGUACCUGAAGAAAAAGCAUCGGCUAACGCGGUGCCAGCAGCCUCGGUAAUACGGAGGAUGCGAGCGUUAUCCGGAGUUAUUGGGGUUAAGGGGUUCGUAGGCGGAAUGCAAAGUCAGCGGUAAAAUCGCGGGGCUAAACCUCGCUCCGCCGUUGAUACUGGCGUUCUUUAGUGGGCUAGAAGUAUGCGGAAUGCGUGGUGUAGCGGUGAAAUGCAUAGAUAUCACGCAGAACUCCGAUUGCGAAGGCAGCAUACCGGCGCCCAACUGACGCUGAAGCACGAAAGCGUGGGUAUCGAACAGGAUUAGAUACCCCUGUAGUC